CGUGUAGGCGGCUUGGUCAGUCAGAUGUGAAAGCUCCGGGCUUAACCCGGAAAGUGCAUUUGAAACUACCAGGCUUGAGUCCCGGAGAGGGAGGUGGAAUUCCCAGUGUAGAGGUGAAAUUCGUAGAUAUUGGGAGGAACACCGGUGGCGAAGGCGACCUCCUGGACGGAGACUGACGCUGAGACGCGAAAGCGUGGGGAGCAAACAGGAUUAGAUACCCUGGUAGUCC
rnacentral:rRNA from 1 species